rnacentral:rRNA from 1 species
AGAGUUUGAUCCUGGCUCAGAACGAACGCUGGCGGCAGGCCUAACACAUGCAAGUCGAGCGCCCGCAAGGGAGCGGCAGACGGGUGAGUAACGCGUGGGAACGUGCCCUUUGGUUCGGAAUAUUCCCGGGAAACUGGGAGCAAAACCGGAUAAGCCCUUCGGGGGAAAGUUUACGCCAAAGGAUCGGCCCGCGUUAGAUUAGGUAGUUGGUGGGGUAACGGCCUACCAAGCCUACGAUCCAUAGCUGAUCUGAGAGGAUGAUCAGCCACACUGGGACUGAGACACGGCCCAGACUCCUACGGGAGGCAGCAGUGGGGAAUCUUGGACAAUGGGCGCAAGCCUGAUCCAGCCAUGCCGCGUGGAUGACUGAAGGCCCUAGGGUUGUAAAGUCCUUUCGACGGGGACGAUAAUGACGGUACCCGUAGAAGAAGCCCCGGCUAACUUCGUGCCAGCAGCCGCGGUAAUACGAAGGGGGCUAGCGUUGUUCGGAUUUACUGGGCGUAAAGGGCGCGUAGGCGGAUUUUUAAGUCGGGGGUGAAAUCCCGGAGCUCAACUCCGGAACUGCCUUCGAUACUGGAAGUCUGGAGCACGGUAGAGGUGAGUGGAAUUCCGAGUGUAGCGGUGAAAUGCGUAGA